UUUAUGGAGAUGUGUCAAGUGCUGGAAGAGUUGUCCUGCAAAACACAAGCCAUCACUGUUCUGCACUGCAGCAAUAAUUAUGGAGACUCGAGUUGUCCAGAUUCUGCUGUUGUGUAUUGUGUCCACCUGCUGGGGACAGCAAGCCUCACUGACCCUGGGCCCAUGGAAUCCUAUUGUCACCACUAACAAUAUGGAGAUCCUCAUCACUGACGUUGGAGAAGAUGGUAGUCUUCCCUCUCCGGCUCACCUGUCACACUGACCUCACUACCUAGUAUGGGAUCAGGUGGCUUAUACGGCACCGGAUGUGGAAACGCCCUAAUUUUAGUUAUUUUCCCUAAGCUAACCCGAACCCCUCCCCCUUCAAAAUAACAUCCGGUGCCGUAUAUGCCACCUGACCCGGACCCGUAUGGCUGAGAACAAUGGUCAGGGAGGACUGGGACAGUGGACGUAUCCUGACGGGAGUGUAUUACUGAACACUGCUGCAUUAUACCAACUCAACCUGGUUGCACCAGUAUGUUCUGGUAAUCUCCAGGCCAUUUAAUGGUGGAUCCAGACCAGUGGCCUCGGAUGCAGCCAGUUACAAGUGCUUCAAUCCCCACAAAAAUUAACACCGACCACCAUGUUGGUUUCAUACACUCUGAUUGGACUGUCAGUCAGUUAGGACUUGUGGGAGUUAUGGAGCUCAUCAACAGCUGCAGUGUGUGAGCGCAGAGAAUGCCUUAAUGUAUGCAAUGAUGGUCAUUAAUUGGUGUGGCACUGUAAGAGCUGCAUGGUGACUGUGGGUGUAUACCCCUAGGCCCUAUAUAUAUGGGAAGAUUCAGACGAGGACCUCUAUACUUAUAUGGAAUGAACUCAUGCUGGACUGUUGGAGGAGGAAUCCAGUGGAUUGCUCUGUCAUCCAUGAGAAGCUGGCCUAUUCAUGAGUUCAUAAUUAGUUUGAUUGUCAUGUUGCUUCUUUAAUAUACCACAUGCAUGCAUGCUUGAGCUACAUCAUAUUAUACAUAUUACAUGCAUGUACGUACGUACAUGUGUCUCUUUAUAUGCAUGGCUCUCUAUGGCUCUAUGUAUAAUUAUAAUUAUGAUCAUUUGUGUGCUAUUUUCACUGCAGAAUCUGUUGGCCGGUCGGUCGCUCAAUCAAUUACUGUUCUAUAUAGCACUAACACUCGUCAUGACACUCCAAACCUUUUAUUGAUCGUUUCUCAAUCACGCUUCAUCUAUUUUUUUGACCGUAUAUAGUGAUUUGCUUUUAGUUUUAUCUUCAUGCAGUGUUUUUUCUUCAGUGUCUCAAUCAUCUCUCUUGUUAUCUUAUCAAACAGUGUGUCAAGCUAGUCCAUAUAGGACUUAAAUGAAAAACCACAACUUUGUGGAUGUGGUAUUCCUAUUCAUUAUUAUCUAUCUAUCAAGUUGUGUUACACAUUUGGACUCUUGAAAUUUUAACUGCAUUGAUUAACAGCAAAAUAAUAGGUAAUUAUAUAGUACUGGCUAAUACUAACUCUAACAAUAUCACACCUAAUAAGCAGACACGAUUUUAUGUAUGCAAUUCAAGUUGCAUGAUAAUGUGUACAAUAUUAACAAAAUUAUUUACAAGCUAGGCUGCAUUCUUGUACAUGCACAAAGUCAAUGUGUUUAAUGGAGAUAUCAAACAAAUUAAGUUGUCUCAUCACUACUCACCACCGGCUGCAGUGAAAUGGGAAAGUUUAAUUCAAUGAUGUAUAUAUAUAUAUAUACAUGUAUACUACAAUUAUAUACUUCACCUGCAGUUCAGUCUCUGGAAGAGGACUAUGUAAGUCGCAUAUCACGGCGUGGUCCCCACUGACGUAGAAAAAUGUUAAUGAGCAUGGUUGAGAGUAAACCAGGGUACUACCAGGAUCAAGAGUAUACAUGUACUCCUGGUACCACGCAAUAAAGAAACUUGGAAUAAAAUCAAAAAUGUGCAUGUAUUAUUAAUUGUACAAAAACAAAAAUAUACACAUAUUCAAGGUAUAUAGUAGCCAAUCUUCUCAUUCCUCUUAACACAAACAAUCACCAUGUUGGUUUACAUACACUCUGAUUGGAGUGUCGGUCAGUUAGGACUUGUGGGAGUUAUGGAGCUCAUCAACAGCUGCAGUGUACUGGUCGUUGGUGUGGCACUGCAUGUAAGAGCUGGUGACUGUGCAUGGGGGUACCCCUAUAGACCCUAUAUAUGAGAAGAUUCAGACCGAGAACCUCUACUUAUAUGGAAUGGCGAGAAUUCCCUGUUCUCAGCACUGCACCCACAAUAAAUGAGAGUACAUGAACUCGUGCUGGACUGUUGGAGGAGGAUUGCACACACACUUCUCUGUCAUCCAUGAGAAGCUUGAAGACCUUACCAAUUCUAAAAAUAAUGAUGAGUUCAUAUUAUAUAUAAGUUCAUUAUACUAGAUUGUCAUGUUGCUUCUUUAAUAUACCACAUGCAUGCUUGAUUAACAAAGGUGUUUAGAGCUUAACUCUAUUACAUAAUUACGUACAUAUGUCUCUAUAUUAUUAUAUGCAUGGCUCUAUGUGUAUGAUCAUUAAUUGUGUGCUAUUUUCACUGCAGAAUCUGUUAGCCAAUUGCUCAAUCAAUUACUGUCCUAUAGAUAUAGCACCAACACUCGUCAUGACACUCCAAAUGUUUUAUUGUCAAUUCCGCUUCAUCUAUUUUCUUGACCGUGGUGAUUUACUUCAGUGUCUCAAUUAUAUCUCUUUUGUUGUGUGUCAAGCUAGUCUAUAAUUAUAGGACCCACAUGAAAAGCCAUAAAUUUGUGCCGAUGUGGUAUUCCUAUUCAUUAUUUAUCUAUCAAGUCGUGUUACACAUGCACGCAUUUGGACUAAAUUAAGAA